rnacentral:rRNA from 1 species
CCGCCCAAGAGUUCAUAUCGACGGCGGUGUUUGGCACCUCGAUGUCGGCUCAUCACAUCCUGGGGCUGAAGUAGGUCCCAAGGGUAUGGCUGUUCGCCAUUUAAAGUGGUACGCGAGCUGGGUUUAGAACGUCGUGAGACAGUUCGGUCCCUAUCUGCCGUGGGCGCUGGAGAACUGAGGGGGGCUGCUCCUAGUACGAGAGGACCGGAGUGGACGCAUCACUGGUGUUCGGGUUGUCAUGCCAAUGGCACUGCCCGGUAGCUAAAUGCGGAAGAGAUAAGUGCUGAAAGCAUCUAAGCACGAAACUUGCCCCGAGAUGAGUUCUCCCUGACUCCUUGAGAGUCCUGAA